GAUGAACGCUGGCGGCGCAUUUAAGACAUGCAAGUCGAACGGAGCACCCCUGAAGGAGUUUUCGGACAACGGAAGGGAAUGCUUAGUGGCGGACUGGUGAGUAACGCGUGAGGAACCUGCCUUUCAGAGGGGGACAACAGUUGGAAACGACUGCUAAUACCGCAUGACACAUAUUGACCGCAUGGUUGGUAUGUCAAAGAUUUAUCGCUGAAAGAUGGCCUCGCGUCUGAUUAGCUUGUUGGUGAGGUAACGGCCCACCAAGGCGACGAUCAGUAGCCGGACUGAGAGGUUGACCGGCCACAUUGGGACUGAGAUACGGCCCAG
rnacentral:rRNA from 1 species